rnacentral:rRNA from 1 species
CGCACUCAUCAAGUGAACGGUACAGGAAGCAGCUUGCUGCUUCGCUGACGAGUGGCGGACGGGUGAGUAAUGUCUGGGAAACUGCCUGAUGGAGGGGGAUAACUACUGGAAACGGUAGCUAAUACCGCAUAACGUCGCAAGACCAAAGAGGGGGACCUUCGGGCCUCUUGCCAUCGGAUGUGCCCAGAUGGGAUUAGCUAGUAGGUGGGGUAACGGCUCACCUAGGCGACGAUCCCUAGCUGGUCUGAGAGGAUGACCAGCCACACUGGAACUGAGACACGGUCCAGACUCCUACGGGAGGCAGCAGUGGG